rnacentral:rRNA from 1 species
GACGAACGCUGGCGGUGUGCUUAACACAUGCAAGUGGUGCGACGAACCAGAGCUUGCUCUGGGGCAAAGCCGCGAACGGGUGAGUAACACGUGGGUAAUCUACCCCGAUGACCGGGACAACCCGAGGAAACUCGGGCUAAUACCGGAUGUGUUGCGGAUACAUAAGUCUCUUCCCUAAAUGUAGCUUCGGCUUCCGCAUUGGGAGGGGUCCGCGGCCCAUUAGCUUGUUGGUGGGGUCAAGGCCUACCAAGGCAACGAUGGAUAGCUGGCCUGAGAGGGGGAUCGGCCACACUGGGACUGAGACACGGCCCAGACUCCUACGGGAGGCAGCAGUGGGGAAUCUUGCGCAAUGGGCGAAAGCCUGACGGAGCAACGCCGCGUGAGGGAUGAAGGCCUUAGGAUCGUAAACCUCUGUUAUUAGGGAAGAACAUAUGUGUAAGAAACGGGGCACAGCUUGACGGUACCGAAUCAGAAAGCCACGGCUAACUACGUG